UACGUAGGGUGCAAGCGUUAAUCGGAAUUACUGGGCGUAAAGCGUGCGCAGGCGGUUGUGUAAGACAGAUGUGAAAUCCCCGGGCUCAACCUGGGAACUGCAUUUGUGACUGCACAGCUGGAGUGCGGCAGAGGGGGAUGGAAUCCGCGUGUAGCAGUGAAAUGCGUAGAUAUGCGGAGGAACACCGAUGGCGAAGGCAAUCCCCUGGGCCUGCACUGACGCUCAGUGCACGAAAGCGUGGGGAACAAACAGG
rnacentral:rRNA from 1 species